rnacentral:misc_RNA from 1 species
UACCAAUAGGUUUUCGUCGGUUGAAAUUUCACUAUUUUUAACACAUUAUAUGGGGUUGAGUGUCGUGCUUCGUAAUUUUCCUUGAUUGUUAGAGCGGAAGACGUAUAAGCGUUCUGUAGGUGGUUUUAACACGUAAGCGGUCUUUUUAUUUUUUAGAAGUGUAAAAGCAUAAAACCUUCAAAGUAUUGAAUUCCCGUCCAGCCGCCAGGUGAUUUGUGUGUGAGACAAAUUUAAUUGAAAGAUGAAUCUCCUUCUCUGAAAUGGUUAAUGGACUGAUCAGGCUUCAACACAGUUACAUCCGUAAGGAAUCAGGCUAAUUCUCAAAACCUUGGUCUAAAGCAUCAAGCCUGUCCAUCAGACUUUUCUACAAAUUCCUUGAGUACUGGGAAGUCCCAAGUCAAUAGGCUGGCAGCAGUUUUCAUUUCAAUCAAUUACAGUUAUAUUACAAUGCUAUGAUGAGGCAUUCAAAGUUUCUCAAUUUAUUUUAUAUUUUCUUGAUAUGUUUGAUCUUCACAUGAAAAGAACAAAUAAUAACGUAAUGUGAGAGAAUGAAGGAAUCAGAAUGAAACUGGAAAAACUAUUUUACUGGAGUCUUCGUUUUUCAGCGGGAUGGCUCCUGUUAGAAAAUAUGCAGGAGUUUGCAUUACGAAAAUGGUGACCACUGACUUCGUUAAGACACUAUCAACGAAGACCAGUAUUUACAUCCAGAAUGGGAGGGGUUUAGGUCAACAGAAUUACGAAAUAAAAUAGGAAUUUUUUUAACUUAAACACAAGCAUGAACAUGGACGUAGAGCAUGACCUGCAAUUUAAUUCUUAGAUUCAUUGCUAAUUAUCUAUCAUGAGAAACCACAUUUAACUGUUUCCCGAAACUCCGUUGACAUCCCAAAAGAUCGUUGCUCUAAUAAGUGUAAAAUCAACUCAAAUAAAUAUAAAUUGGUUAAUUUUUUUUUGUAAGAGUUUGCAAUAGAUUCCUUUCUCUCCAUCCCUGUUUGUUAGUUUCGAAUUAAAUUUAAAGGAUCACGAAAGUUACGUUUGCACAUAAUUCAUAAAAAUAAUAAUAAUGAUUUUCUCAUUCCA